UACAGGGGGUGCAAACGUUGCUCGGAAUCAUUGGGCGUAAAGCGCACGUAGGCGGUUCGUUAUGUCGGAUGUGAAAGCCCUUGGCUUAACCGAGGAAGUGCAUCCGAAACUGGCGAGCUAGAGUACGAAAGAGGAUCGCGGAAUUCCCGGUGUAGAGGUGAAAUUCGUAGAUAACGGGAGGAACACCGGUGGCGAAGGCGGCGAUCUGGGUCGAUACUGACGCUGAGGUGCGAAAGCGUGGGGAGCAAACAGG
rnacentral:rRNA from 1 species